UUCUAGGGACGAAAGAGCAGACAGAGGUUUUUAUAAAGCUCCGGGGAGAGAACGAUGAGCUCUUCACCGGAGCAAAGAACUCUGCAACUGUGGGAUGGAGGAUAGUUUUGGAGAAGAUGGGCCUGUCUGGUAAAGUGACACCAGCCCAAGCAAAGAAAAAGAAUGCAAGUAUCCAGGGUCAGGAGAGGGAGUAAGUGGGAAGCCCACUGCUGCUACUUGGCCCUGGUUUCUCCAAAUGGAUGAGGUUUUAGGACAAAGGCCUUCAAGUUGCCCCCUGUCCUUAUUGCCUCCAUCCCUAUGGACACUUCAGGGCCAAGUGCAGCAGUGAGUGACCAAGAGGAGAGAGAGGAAGAAGAGAGGGAAGGAGGUAGGCAGCCAGCAGCGAAGAAGAGGA